AGUGAACGCUGGCGGUAGGCCUAACACAUGCAAGUCGAACGGCAGCACAGUAAGAGCUUGCUCUUACGGGUGGCGAGUGGCGGACGGGUGAGGAAUACAUCGGAAUCUACUUUUUCGUGGGGGAUCACGUAGGGAAACUUACGCUAAUACCGCAUACGACCUACGGGUGAAAGCAGGGGAUCUUCGCACCUUGCGCGAUUGAAUGAGCCGAUGUCGGAUUAGCUAGUUGGCGGGGUAAAGGCCCACCAAGGCGACGAUCCGUAGCUGGUCUGAGAGGAUGAUCAGCCACACUGGAACUGAGACACGGUCCAGACUCCUGCGGGAGGCAGCAGUGGGGAAUAGUGGACAAUGGGCGCAAGCCUGAUCCAGCCAGACCGCGUGGGUGAAGAAGGCCUUCGGGUUGGAAAGCCCUUUUGUUGGGAAAGAAAAGCAGCAGGUUAAUACCCCGCUGUUCUGACGGUACCCAAAGAAUAAGCACCGGCUAACUUCGUG
rnacentral:rRNA from 1 species